GACGAACGCUGGCGGCGUGCCUAAUACAUGCAAGUAGAACGCAGUUGCGAACGGGUGAGUAACGCGUAGGUAACUGCCUCAUAGCGGGGGAUAACUAUUGGUAACGAUAGCUAAUACCGCAUACUGUGAGAUGGACCUGCGUUUCAUUAGCUAGUUGGUGAGGUAAAGGCUCACCAAGGCGACGAUACAUAGCCGACCUGAGAGGGCGAUAGGCAACACUGGUCCUGAUCAACGGCCAAGACACCAACGGGAGGCAGCAGUACGGAAUCUUCAGCAAUGGACGGAAGUCUGACCGAUCAACGCGGCGUGAGUGAAGAAGGUGUUCGGAUCGUAAAGCUCUGUUGUUAGAGAAGCGGUAGCUAACCAGAGAGGGACGGCUAACUACGAGCCAGCAGCCGCGGUAAUAC
rnacentral:rRNA from 1 species